GUGCUCUCUUUGGCAGCACGUAUAUCAAAAAUGGGAAUAAUAUAGAGAUUAUCAUGGUCCUUGCCCAAGGAGGACACACAAAUUCAAGAAACAUCCCACAUUUAA